AACAAAAACCAGUGUCGUUUGUAUGCCAUAAAAAUCUUAAGAACUACAGACCUAACUUCCUGUAAAAUAUCAGAGUCAAAAUUAACAGGAAAUCAGAGAGGUAGUGUCGGCCUCAAGUUCGGUAGUGCUGGGUCCAGAAGUGCCGAGCACACGGGCGGCAGUGCCGGGCACCGAAAAAUGCCCAGAAUGAUCUCAAACUUCACAUAUAGUUUGCGCGGGGUAGAAGACGGUUACUAGUGAACAAACCAAAAAUCAAAGCUUAGAUCAGAAAAUCCGAGAGAGAUGGGGUUUUCUCAAAACGAGCCUAAAUGAGAAUCAACUCGGGUCAUGACCAAGAACUGCACUGUGAGGGUGUACGCAGUAAUCCAAAGAGUCUAUAUCCACCCAAAUCAAUCCCCAACAAUACUCAUGUCGCAAAAACUCGAAGGUUCUCCACAAAUCCACAAGAGAAGAGGAAAGGAUAAAACAAAACUUCAGAAUUUAGCAAUUAUCAAAAAUUGAGAUUGAGAAGUGAACAAAACAUGUGGGUCGUACCGGCGACCCUUCCUCGAAUUAUACAUGAAGAACAAAAACCAAGUCGACGGUUACAAAAUUGACGCGGAUCCCUUGGUUAAACUGGUGACUACCGAGACAGAAAACUAGGAGUACUAAAAUAAGAAGCCUAAAGAAAUGGCAGCCAUAAGAUGCUUGACUAACAAGCCUGUCCCUCUAUUUAUAGAGGGUUAUUUGUAUUUUGUAAACUACCCCUAUUUAUAUGGAGUCUAUUGACUCCGCUAGGGGAGAAAUAGACCAACUCAUAGGUUUUCGAUUUGAUGGCCACAUGCUCCACACGAACUUGCUUCGCCUUGACAAACCCUUAGCUGUGAUGCCACGUGCCGCCACCGGAUCCCUCCAGAACCGCCGCCAUCGAGUUUUGAGGCCCAAACUUAGCAAAACCCAACAUCCGUAACGCAGGAUGGUGUUGAGGCUCAACCACCAAACCGUCAUGAGUAUCACAGCACCACAUGUGCGUCCUCCAUGACCAGACAUGUGUCCUGCCAGUCCUCGAUCGCGCCAACAGGAUGGUCCACUCCACCAUAUCCUUACGCGAGUGCAUGUCCCAGGUGUCAACCACCAUGGAUGGUCACCCAUCUACUCCAAUUCGUCAGCCAAGAUCCAACACUCGUCCUUCAUCGCUCCCGGUCCAUCAGCACGAGACCGCAUGACCUUCACCUCAGCCGUCGAUUACUGUCCCUGUUCUCCACACCUAGACAGCACAAGCCGACCGACAUGGUUGCACAUACAUAAUCUCACACUCGGGUCAGUCCACUGAGUACCCAAGAGUGCUACCCGUUAAGACAAUCACUCAUUAUCAACCCAAACCACAAGGGACAACUCAAUCUUGUGUUCGCAAUCUCCCAUUUGAUGAGUGCAAUGUCAACACCACCACAUGAACAUAUAUAAGCAGAAAGAGGAAGAAGAAGAAGAAGAGAAACUCACUCAAAUGACCAAAAGCCAGAAAAUGGCCAAACAAGUCAUCCAAAGUAAGCAAAACUUGGUCUCCAAAGAAAUGGGCAACGACUCAACACGACCAAGUAUAAAACGGUUUGUCCUCACAAAGAGGAAAAAGUAGGGCUCAACACCACUAGCCAGCCAACAAAACAAAAUCAGCACAAAAGCUGAAAUCAAAGCUAGUUCCUCCAGAAAGAGGCAAGUGGCUCAACACAUCUAGCAAAAGCUCCAAAAUCCAAUGUCUCUCCCCCUGAGAAUCUCUCCCCUUGCGAAAGUAGUCUCCCAAAGCAAAAAUCUCUCCCCUUUGUUAGGAGGCAAAAAAUCUCAAAGUCUCUCCCCCAUAUUGACAAGUGAACUCAUCAAGCACAAACAAGGGUAAAACAGAAACUCCCCGUGAGAAAAUGCAGAAAUGCAAAAGAAAGGAGAAUAUGCACGAGCUUCAAAAGUAUACCAAUCAGUGUAAAAAUGCUCUAAGUGGUGUUGUGCUAUGUGUGCAGCAAUAAAUUCACAUGCCAUCAAAUGUUCAAACUGACUAUAUGCACAAGAUAUAUUAAGUGUAAGCAAUUUGAUUUAGUUUUAAACAGUUCAAAAGAGAAGUUCACUACUAAAGACAGCACUAGGCAUAUAGUAAGAAGGAAAUCAACUAAUUGCCAGUCAAGGUAAACCAGGUGAAGUACCCCCAAACAGUGGCCACUCAUCAUGUUAGAAACAUACCUGAAAAUGAUACUAGAUGAUAAUCUCAAUAUUUAUCGGAUUUUGCAGUGGAUUACAAGUUUUAAGGAAAGAAUGUGAGUACGAGAGGUUAUAAGCAUUGUCAUUGUCUAACUUUUCAAUCGGGUGUAGCGUAUGCAGAAAAGAAAUCAGAAGCUAAAGACACCGGUUUGAUCAUCCACUACCGUGCUCAAGUUCAUCUAAAGGUGCAAAUGGAAGCAGUUUCUAUAAAGAGAGGUGGAGACAAAUGCAAACCUAUCUCAAUCUUUCUGAAUUUUUCACUUAUUUUGAUUUUGAUUUUAAGAACAUAACUUAUGAUUCAAGACAAUGAAUGACUCAGAGCAUGAGACAUAGCCAUCUAGCAUACUAGUGGGAGCACAAAGGAUUUCAGACACAUCCUAUAUACUCUAGGUGCCAUUCUCAAAUGGUGAACAUGUUUUGGAUUCAGCAAGUAAUAGUCAAGUUCACAAUUAUGAAAAAACAAGCUUAUCAAAACCUCUUGAUCAGCCUUGCUCACGGUCAUGAGCGGCUCGAACCCUCACAUGAGUAACUUAUGGAAUUAAAUUUAAUUAGUUAUUUGCAUCACAUUGUGGUUUAUUUAUUAAUUAUGAUAUCUCAUUAUUUGGGUUGGUAUUUACUUAUACUUAGUAAUUGCUAAUAAAAUUUGACCAACUUAUUAAAAGCAAUGCUCAGCUUUAACCAUUAUUUAUUGAUCAGCCUUACACUGCACAUGAACUCCCACCUUUGGUGAGUUCAUGCACAUUAUUCCCCAUAACUUGUUGAGCUAUGAUCUUUUGUGAGCUCACUCUUGCGAUUAUAAACCGCUCCACAGGUGAAGAGCAAGUAGCCAGGAGGAGGACUACUACGUGGAGUACGAGGAAGUCUAGGUGGCGUCUCCCAGUCAACUUGAUGGCGCCAAUGAAUAAUUAUUAGUUUGCUUUAUUGUUAUCAUUUAUUUUUGUAAGACACUUCCGCUAUGUAAUAAUGUUUAUGACAUUUAUCUCCAUACACUUGGUCAUUAGAUGUGUUGUUGUUCUUUGACGCACAUAUGAGAUGCACCCGACUUUAUCCCUUAAAUCUGGGUGUGACAAUAGUUUUAACCUUUGUUUCCCAACAAAAUAAAGUUAUUAGAUGAUAAACAAUAUUAAUAUAAAUUUAAUGCAACUGGAAUGGAUCAAAAAUGUGUUAGAAUGAAUUAAAUAUGAAUUAAACAAGCUCCUGGAAUUAUUUCUAUACUAAAAAUCAUUUUUUGGUUUAUUUUUGAAUAUCUCUACUGACUCUGGACUGUGUACACAAUUACUAGAUAGUAUAGGGGUUAAUUCAUAAAUUCCUAGGGCACAAAUGGAAUUACUUUGCACUGUGGGUUCAUUUCUGUUAAGUUCGGGGGUUUAUUUGUAAAAGUCAAAUGGCGAAAGGGUAUCACGAGAUCUAGGCCGCCCGAUCUGAAUUCUGGGAUCCAGAUUAGAUCGGCCUAACCCUUAUGAAGCUUACAUCGAGGGCCAUCGAUCCCCAGAUCGACGGUGGAGGCUAGGGUUUCAGGUAGUCCGGCUUAUCGACAGGCGAUGGUCGCGAUCGUCUCAACGAAACGGUAUGCCCAGGCACCAACCAGGGUCGAUGGAUCCGCGACCCACGGUCCAGAUUUUAUGAACCCAUGAUCUAAUAUGUGCUAUUGAUUACACGAUCCAACGGGCAGCGAGCGCCGCAGCUCCUCUCGCUUCUCAGCGACGACCGUGACGGCGACGCCACUCCCCUUCACGACGGAUCUCGCCGGAGGCACCCGGUUUCCAACCCCCAAUGCCCUAAAUAUCGAUUGAAACACUUCUACACGACGUAGGGCACACGCUGCGAGUAUGCAGGGGGUAACGUACCGAUGAUUCAGGCAGCCAGAGGUUGCUCCACGACGGACGGUGGAUCUGCGACGGAGGUGAUAAUCCUGGCGACGAAUUCCGCGCACUCCAGCCGAUAAUCACUCACAGCACGCUAACGUCGACCCUCCCAGACUUCUUGUAGUGCACUCUAGAUGGUCACGAAGGCUUCAUCGGCGGCGGGUGAUUGAGCCCGCGGCGGCGGCAAAACUCCCUCCCCCUGAUCUCUCUCCCCACGGCGCGAUGUUCUCGGUGGUGUGAAAUCGAUGAGGGUUGUUGCGCGGGGUCUGGAGCACAGGCCGACCAGCUGGCCCGCGCCGAGCGCGGGUGGUUUCAACUACCCGCCCGUGGCGAUAUCACGGGGAAGGGGAUACACAUGU
rnacentral:lncRNA from 1 species